ACAGUGACUGCUCUUUUUCCCUCCUGCCACAGUCCAGGGUAGGAGAUACUUCUCCAGGCUCUCACUUAUGGGGGCUUUCCUGCUGGCUACAUCACUGAAAUGGAAUCUCCUAGUGGCCCUUCUCCCUCUACAGCUCUGGUGUUACACUGAAAAACUAGAAGUUUCAAAACAGACAAGGGAAAAAGAGAAACAUCAGAAAGUCUGAUUAAAGUAGAAGCAUCAUAUUUCUAUCAACGUAUCCACUGUGCUUGGACUCUGUAAUAUUCACCGGCAGGAAAACCCAAGGGAAUGACUACUAUGACAUCUGAUGAUGAAAAAACAGGCACAGAAAAAUUCAGGGAUCACGGCUAAUAAAUAGAGAGCUGACAUGCAAGUCCAGACACUCUACCCCCAGCAACAUGAAUUGGAGGCCAUUAUUUUAAGUGAAACAACUCAGACACAGAAAGAAAAAUACUGCAUCUUCUCACUUACAGACUGCCCCUGUUUCAGCCUCCAGGAGAGUCUGUGACAAGGAGUGGGCUCCCUCUGCAAGGUGCUUGGAUUCCUCUGAAGAAAGAAAGCAAGGAAACAUGAAGUAUGGUGAUGGUGGCAUUUUCAAGGGCGGGUGAUGAAUGGAAACUUCCUGACAUUUCAAGCGACAACAUCUGAAAGGAAAUGGAAUUUUCCUGAAGCACAGGCAGGAGGUCCCCGUCACAAGCUAUUGAUUUGGUGUGCACAUCUUGCAUUUAAUCUGGUGAUUAAUUUGGAGGGAGGCUGCAUGCAUGCUGUGCUUUCAUUUAGUGAGUUUAAAAGCCCACAACUUCUGAUUUAUUUUGCUUCAUUCAUGAGGAGCUGUUUUAUUGCAAAGGGUUGAAUGACAGGUUUCCUGGCAGGCUGUAAAGACAGGUAAAAUUUAAAUAAGGAACAUAAAAUCUUUGAAGACACUCUAUU
ensembl:lncRNA JUN-DT JUN divergent transcript